ACUACAUCCGGGUAUCGUUGGUCGCCAUGUUGCCCAAUGAAAUUAGCUUCAAACAUUAAAUACCCGCUAGCAAUAUUGAUAUGUUAACGUUGGCUUUCCAGACAUUGUUCCGGCUUUCGUCAUAUUACAAAAUGCCUUAGGUACUAUCAACCUACGAAGGAAGCCCCGUAUCCUAUUAUUGAGGCAACCAUUGUAACUGUGCCACGCAAUGCACCAUGGAAGCGGUUCACAAAACCUUCAACGACAACUUCAGAGGUCUAAGUCGGUCAGUGGAUCAGAGGUCGAAGAUCAGCAGCAAACGACCAUGGCAGCUCCACAACAACCAACUACAGUUACCCACCCUCAGUCUCCCGUAACCACGUUUUCUUCUGCUGCCAGCCCAUCAGCUCCACAGUCUCCCAAUUAUCAGAUAAUCAUGAGUCGUAGUCCGGUCACCGGUCAGAAUAUGAACAUCACUUUACAAAACGUGGGGCAGAUGGUGACUGGAAACCAGCAGAUCACCCUAACCCCACUUCCACUCCAAAACCCUGCAUCCCCUGGUUUCCAGCAUACGGCACCACAAUGGAGGAUUGAGCAUGCUCCAUCUUCCUACAUCCAGGUCACAUCUCCCCUGCCCCAGGUCAUGCAGCCCCAAAGUCCCACCCAGCAUAGUCCAGUCACACUGCAAGGUGUCACAAGGCCAGGGGCUCCUGCACUUGGUGUGUGCGGACAGAGCCCGACAAGGUUUGUCGAGGCCGGUAUGUUAGUACGGCAAAUUGGUUUAAGCAGUCCAUCGGGAAGUGGGCAUUUUGUAUACCAGGAGGGGACAGGGCUUGCACAGAUGGCACCAGGCACUCCGGGCCAAAUACAACUGUCAUCUCCAGGAGCACCAGGUUCUGUUCGGGAACGUCGACUUUCUCAGCCUCACUCACAGACGGGAGGCACCAUUCACCACCUUGGACCUCAAAGUCCUGUGACUACCUGUACUGCUCUCCCCACUUUGGGCAGCCCUGGCCACAUCACCACCUCCAACCUACCUCCACAGAUCAGCAGCAUCAUACAAGGACAGCUUGCACGCCCUGUGAUAUUUGAGAAGACAUCUCAGGGUGUUGUUGGAACGACAGCCACUGCAUCUUUUAGUAUACCUUCCUGUAUUCCACCUUCCAGCCCCUCCUUCACGAGUUCAUCCCAAGGACACAGCAACAAUCUUCUUACACCAACCAACACUGCAGUUGGCACUGUUAGGAAACAACUUCCCAAGCGGUUAGAGGAGAUUGCUCCUUCUACUCCAGAGAUUGCUCAGCUUCGGAAACAGUUUUUAGAGCACCAUAUCAAGAAGAUGGAUAGUUUAAAGGAGGUGUUCAAAGAAUAUCUUAUAGAACUAUUUUUUCUGCAGCAUCUCCAAGGAAAUAUGAUGGACUACUUGGCCUUUAAAAAGAAACCAUGUGUUCCAUUGUAUACCUAUUUAAGACAGAAUGACUUGGACGUUGAAGAUGAAGAAGAAGAAGAGGAACAGUCAGAGGUCAUUAAUGACGAGGUAAAAGUUGUGACAGGAAAGGAUGGUCAAGCAGUGACACCUGUUGCCAUUGCAACACAGCUUCCCCCUAAUGUUUCUGCUGCUUUCUCCACCCAGCAGCAGUUUCAGGGACACCAGGUGACAGUUUCUGGCACCCUUGCCAACCCAGGAGACAUGGAUGCCUUUAAGAGGCAACAGGCAAUGAUUCAAGCAGGCGGGAUGCCGCCAACGCCACAAGCAGUCCAGAUUGCCGGACAGAAGCAAAACCAACAACAAUAUGACCCAUCUAAAGGACCUCCGGUGCAGAAUGCAGCUAGCUUACAUACUCCACCGCCGCAACUGCCAGGCAGGUUGCCACAGGCUGCCCCCCCAAUGGCUGGCCUGUCAGUCACACUCCCCCAGCAGUCUCAGAUUGUCGAGAGUACAGUCCAACCUGGAAAUCAGUUCCAAGCGCAUGUGAAAGUGCAGACCGGCGGCCCAAUCAUGGCGUCAGUAAAUCCCCAUGCACAACUCCAGGCACAGCUGCAGCAGCAGAUGCAACCAGGUCUUCAUAUUCAGUUGCCUCCUCAGCAGCAACAAACGCAGCCAAUGUUACAUUCAGGACAAGCGACGGUGACUCUUGGUCGUCCUGGAGCGGAAGCUACCCAGCCAGUUCAGAGAAUAAUGACCAACUCAAUACCAGUCACCUCCAUGUCUACUCCUGCCCUCCCUACUUGCAACUCUGUUCCAACCUUACAACCGACAAGUCCUUUGCGCACUCUUGGUGCCAGUACAAACCUGAGCACACAGUCCAAACUGACCGGUACCAAUGGUUUCUCUGGAAUCAAAAUGAGUGGCUUUGGUCAAAGUGCAACCAUGCAGGAGACUUCUCAAGAUAAGCAAGUUGAGCAAGCUAAACUGGAGAAUCAAGUGCAUCAACGCAUCUCUGAGCUGAGAAAGGACGGCCAGUGGUCAGCCAGUAGGCUCCCUAAACUUGCGGAGUCCUCUCGUCCAAAGUCCCACUGGGACUACCUCCUUGAAGAGAUGCAGUGGAUGGCAGCUGACUUUGCCCAGGAGAGGAGAUGGAAAGAGGCUGCUGCAAAGAAGCUUGUUCGAACCUGUGCCCGUUACCACCAAGAGCAGAAGAAAAGUCAAGAGCGGUCAAAGAAAGAAGAGGAACUUCACCUUCGCCAAAUUGCCCGCACAAUUGCCAGAGAAGUGGAUUUUUUUUGGUCUAACAUUGAACAGGUUGUGGAAAUUAAACUUCUAUUUCAAAUGAAUGAAAAAAGGAUUCGCGCACUUGGCUUGCAAAAAGCCUCAAUCAAAGCGGAGAGAGGUGACAAGGAGGAAGUUCCCACUCAAUCCAGAAAGAGAAAAUUAAGUUCAUCAUUAAGUGAGAAAACUGAUGAAGAGAGCACGAUAGCGGAGCAAGAGGUUGUGGAGGGCGAAGCAGAUUAUAAAGCUGAGUUGGCUGAACUCGCCAAAGAUGCUGAGUUGCCUCUGGAUGUUUUGAAGAAGCAAUAUGCCGGUGCCUAUGCUGAGGGCUUCAUGUGGCCUCACUGUGGUCCUCAAAGUGACGACGAUGAAGAAGUGACUGAAGAACCUACGUGUCCUGUGAGCAGUCUGCCUGAGGCCGUGCUGAUAGACUCUCUGCUCAUCGUGGACCAGUAUCGUAGUCCUGACAAAGGAUCUUCCUGCGAGUCUGAUAAAAGAUCUGCCAGAGACAUAUCGCAAGUGGCUGCCGCAACAGAAGUCCUUUUACCAAAGGGUCCUUUCAAGACCACUUCAUUGAAUUCCAAUCCUGCACCCUUUCUACUGCAUGGUUCACUGAGAGAAUAUCAGCAAAUUGGUGUUGACUGGCUGGUGAAGUUAUAUAAAAAGCACCUCAAUGGUAUCCUCGCUGAUGAAACAGGUCUUGGCAAGACUGUUCAGACCGUUGCUUACAUGGCCCAUCUGGCUGGCCAAAUGGGUGUCUGGGGACCCCACCUGAUUGUGGUCAGGACAUGUCAAUUGUUAAAUUGGGAGGUUGAGUUCAAACGUUGGUGUCCUGGCCUUAAAAUCCUCCUCUAUUUGGGAACCAAGAAGGAGCGCAGAUUUCAAAGAAUGAGGUGGCAGGAAGCAAACAGCUUCCAUGUGUGUGUAACAUCGUACAAGCUGCUGAUGAAGGACCAAAACCAUUUCCGGAAGCAAAAAUGGAGGCACCUGAUUCUGGAUGAGGUGCAGCUCAUCAAAAAUAUGACUGAAAAACACUGGGAAACCAUAUUUGCGCUUAUAUGUGAACAGCGGAUCCUCCUCAUAAAUACCCCACUGCAAAAUACCCUCAAGGAACUGUGGACUAUGAUCCACUUCCUCAUGCCAGGUAUCACUAGACCCUACUCUGACUUCCCUGUGAAGGCAGCCACAGACCAGAAUCAGGACUACUGCCACAAACUCGUCAUUCGCCUGCACAGGAUGAUUCAGCCUUUCAUUUUGAGACGCUCCAAAAGGGAAGUGGAAAAGCAGUUGCCAAAGAAGUAUGAACACAUCCUCAAGUGCCGCCUUUCCAGCAGGCAGAAGAGCUUUUACGAGGAUAUUCUCACUCAACCGGGUGCUCAGGAGGCACUAAAGACCGGCCAUUUUGUCAGCGUGCUUCAAGUCUUGAUGCAGUUGCAGCGUGUGUGUAACCACCCUGACUUGGUUGCCCCCCGAGAAAAAAGCAACUCCUACUUCUGCUCUUCACUGCAAUACAAUAGCCCGUCACUUGUGCUGGGAGCACUGCAGGAUGCUUCAAGCAAAGAUACAAACAUGUCCCUGUUUGAUUUGAUCAAUAACGAGAAUCGACUGACUCGGUAUCAGACUGAGGAGGCAGUACCUAAACUAAAGAUCACGCAACAGCUUAUAGAGGAGAUCUACAGUGGUCCAGAACCAUCACCACGACCCAAGCCAUGCCCAAUAAAACCCACAAGAUUGUUCCAACCAGUACAGUAUGGGACAAAGCCAGAAGGUCGCCUUUUCCCCUUCACAAGUGCAACAAGUCCAAAUCCUCCAACAAACUCUUCUGCUACAAUGAACUCUGUUGCCACCACCGGCCAAUUAGCCCAGACUAGGGGAAAGUCCCCUGUUAGCGCUGCAGCUACUACAGCAGCUUCUCAAGGAGGGGAUGCAGUCAAAAUUGCCCAGCUUGCCAACAUAGCUGGCAAUCCAAAUCGGAUCUCCCAACCAGAAACUCCCGUCACUCUGCAAUUUCAGGGUAACAAGUUUACGCUGUCCCCCAGCCAGCUCCGCCAGCUCACCACUGGGCAGCCUUUGCAACUCCAAGGAAACAUUCUGCAAAUGGUGUCAGCUCCUGGGCAACAAAUCAUCAGGCCUCAGGGGUCUAUGGUAAUGCAAACAAUGGCACAAGCUGUCCCUAACGCCAAUGCCUCAGCUUCCCCCAGCACACCUCAUCCAACUCUGCCCACAGUCCAGCAAGGUUUGACCACAAAUGCUACAGCAGGCCCUACUAGGCUGUGUACUGCUUCCACACAGGAGUCUUCAGAAGAGAAGAGUCGUCAAACAAAGCGACGUUUGAGCCUCCUUUUUGAAGCAAAUGACCGACGCUGCAGCCGCAGAGUUUUGUAUGGGUCUGACUUGUUAGAGGUGUGCACUGUAACCUCUGGGCCUGGUCACUCUGCUUUGACUGCUGGAGGAUGGAUGUGGGUGGGCAGAGAGAGCUGCAUCAGGGCCCAGAAAAACUGUGUGGCAACCACUUCUACACUGCAGUCUACUCUAGUCUCUACUGAGGACCGCAUGCAAGCCACUAGUAGCCUUGUAAAGAGGUUAUGUGUGGUGCCUCCAGCUGUAGCGCCGCCUCUUCACUUGUAUGCAGCCAAUCCUCCAGUCGCCUACACCUGUGAACAAAAGUUACUUCAUCGCCAACUGCAGGAAGCUUUUGCGCCCCAUACUUCUGAAAUACACCGCUUGGUGACUGGGAAUGAUCACUUUUCCCUUGACCUUCAUCUAAUGCAGAUGGACUCAGGUAAAUUAGAAGCUCUUGCCAUUCUACUGCAGAAGCUUAGGUCGGACAAUCGGCGUGUCCUCAUCACCACUCAAAUGGUGAAUAUGCUGGACAUCCUGGAGGCAUUUCUUGAUUAUAGGCAACUCACUUACGUGCGGGUGGAUGAAAGCUACACUCCAGAUGAACGACAGGAGACUAUAAAGAGCUUUAACAGGAACAGGCAGAUUUUCUGCAGCAUCUUGACAAACCACUGCUGCGCUGCAGUUGGAACUGUGUUCGAUGCAGACGCCAUCAUUUUCUAUGACACAGACCUCAAUCCCAGUAUAGAUGCUCACACUCAGGAAUGGUGUGACAAAAUUGGGCGUUCUAAGGAUAUACACAUUUACAGAUUGGAGAGUGGGAACUCCAUUGAAGAGAAGCUAUUAAAGAACGGAACCAAGGACUUGAUCAGAGAGGUGGCUGCACAGGGCACUGAUUUCACCCUGGCUUUCCUUACACAAAGGACGAUCCAGGAUUUGUUUGAGGUGGAGGCUGGCUCGGGGGAGAAAGUGGAGGAGUUUGUGGUCCUUCAUCAGGAGCCUUCAGCCUCUGAGACCAUUUCACCUAAGGUGGCUAGGCCCUACAUCCAAGCUCUACAUAGCAUACAUUUGGAUGACUUACCAGAAACUGAAGAUGAGAAAAUGGAGCAGGAAGAGAUACCAGGCAAGCAUUCUGAAAAGUUUGAUCUGGAGUCAGAGGGCCAGAAUAAAGAAGAGCCUGCUGAGAUUGAGGAGCUUAAUACAAUUAUGGAACAGCUCACACCAAUUGAAAGGUAUGCCCUACACUACCUGGAGUACCUCCACAUCAGCGAAGAUGAAACUGUCCUCAAGGAGCAACUGGAGUGCUCUAAGAGAGGCUGGGAGCUGCAGCAGCUGCAGAAACUGAAAGAGGAGCAAGAAGAGCGGCAGAUGAUGGAGGGAGAUGAAGAGCUCUUCACCUACACCAGAGAGGAUGCUUACAACAUGGAGUAUGUAUUUGAUGCUGAGGAUGGACACACAGAAAUCAUGCCGGUUUGGACUCCACCUACGCCACCACAGGAUGACAAUGACAUUUACAUAGACUCUGUAAUGUGCCUCAUGUAUGACACAACCCCCAUUCCUGAGUCCAAACUGCCUCCUAUCUACAUCCGCAAGGAGCAAAAGAGACUCAAACUCGACCCCUCUGCAGCAGCUAGGAAGAAGAAAAAGGGCCACGGGGAAACAGUUAUUCCUCCACGUUCCCUUUUCGAAAAGGCCAGCAUGCUGAAGGUUCGCAGAGAAGGAAAGGAUCAGAAAAAGAACUUCUCCCUCAAGCAGCAGGCACCCUUUGCCAAGCCCCUGCCUUCGCUGGUGAAACCUGCUAUGGAGGUCGGUCAGGACAACCCAGAGUGGCUCAUCAGUGAAGACUGGGCUCUGCUUCAGGCUGUUAAACAACUUCUGGAGCUGCCUCUGAAUUUGACAAUUGUGUCCCCUGCUCACACUCCCAAUUGGGAUCUGGUGAGUGAUGUGGUGAACUCCUGCAGCCGCAUCUACCGCUCUCCCAAACAGUGUCGUACCCGCUACGAGAAUGUCAUCAUUCCCAGAGAAGAGGGCAAGUUGUUGUAUGAAGCGAACCCCAAGAAGAAAACAAAGAGCAUCUACAAGUCUAAGAAUAGCCGUCCUCUAAGGACCUGUCAGAUCUACACGCAAGACGACAAUGCCACUCAGAUUCAGCUCUACAACAGUCGUUUUGAGCUCAUGAAAAUUAUAGCCAGUAAGAGGAGCCCACCCAUCAAGCCACUGCUCGGCAUGAAUCCUUUCCAGAAGAAUCCCAAACAUGCCUCUGUGUUGGCAGAAAGUGGGAUAAGCUACGACAAGCCCCUCCCCCCAAUCCAGGUAGCUUCUCAGCGUGCUGAGAGGAUUACCAAAGAGAAAAAGGCCUUGGCGGAGCAGCAGAAAGCUCAGCAGUUGGCACAGCAGCAGCAGGCUGGUGCUCCCCAGGCCCAAACUGUGUCUAACCAGUCCCAGACCCCUGCUGCUGCCCAGGCUCAGGUCCCUCAGGCUGCUGCAGUGGCUGGAGCCACUGCUGUCCCUAAUGCAGCUGUCCUGGCUGGAGCCAUCAAAAAUGCUACUGUGGGCACAACCAUCCAGGCUGCCGCUGUCGGGGGGAAUGUGAUUGUGAACACAGUGGCUGGAGUGCCUCCAAGCCCCUUUCAGGCCAACAAACGUCUGGCAUCUCCAGUCAUACCAGGCUCCCUGCCUCCCGCUGGUCCUGCUGCUGGAGCACAGGUGGUCCAUGCACAACAAAGAGCCGUUACGGCUUCUGCUACCCCUGCCGAAGUGGUUGCCAUAGCUACAGGGCAGGGCGUACGAUCGGUUACCCCAGUAACCGCAUCGGCAGUCGUUUCAACCACUCUGAGCCCAGUCCAAGCUCAGACUCGACCACUUGUCACUCAAGUAACAUCAGCUACAGGAAUGCAGCUGGCACAAGGAAAAACGCUCACCCCGGCCCACCUGCAGAUGCUUCGGCAACAGCAACUACAACAGCAGCAGGCGGCUUCUCCUCAGAUCAAAGCUGUAAGCAAACCCCAGGAGUUGUUAAAGAUGCACAAACAUAAAUUGCAGCAACAGCAGCAGGUAGCUGCAGCUGUGGCUGCUGCUCAGGGCCAACAGGCUGCAGGAGCCCAGCAGGCAGUCCAAGUGCAGCCGUCACAAGCGGUCCAAGCUAAUCCUCAGCUAGCAGCCGUGGCAGCGCCGAGACCUGGAACUGUCUUGACGGGUACAACAGUGGCCAGACUGACCCGAGUACCCACCCAAGGCCAGAUUCAGGCACAGGCAGGUCAGACGGCCCAGGUGACCCUCAGCAAGCCUCCUGUGGUCUCUGGUGUCACCACACUGCCCGUCACUGUAGCUGGCAUUAGUGUGGCUAUUGGCCAGGCCCAGAAAACGGGUGGUCCUGUGCUGACCCCGUCCUUCCCCCAAAUGCAAGUGCAGCAGCUGCUUCAGAUGAAGAAGCAGCAGCAGGCGGCCGUUCAGGCGGCAGCUGCAGCCCAACAGAAGGCAGGACAAUCGCAACAAGGACAGGCCACAGUGCAGCAGAAGGUAAAGAUGGGCACCCAGCAAGUGACAGUGCAGGCAGCCCAGCCCAGUCAGCAGCAACAGAAGGUGACCUACGCCACCACAACCCAACUUCAGCCAGGGAUCAAGACCCAGUUCUUCACCACGUCCAUCGCCCAGACUCAGAAACCCACAGGAGCUCAGCAAAUUCAGGUGGCAAAAGUCCCCCAAAUAGUGCAGCAGCAGCCCACUGUGACUAACAUUCAGCAAAUUGUGUCUUCUCCGCAACAGAUCCAAUCACAACCUCAGACGGUGACCCUGACCCAGGCGGCCACGUCGGCUCCUGCUCAGGUGCAGAUGAUUCCCGCCGGCACCACGACGGUUCAGGUUGUCCAGCAGAAGAUCAUCCAGCAGCAGGUGGUGACUGCAGCCUCCUCUCCGCAGAUUCAGACUCCACCAACCCACAGCCCAGCCCAGAAACUUCCAUCUUCGGCGGCCCCAGAUUCCUCGGCGCCGCAGCCCGUUCAGCAGCAGCUGGCCAACAAGAGCCAAGCUCGCCAGGGCGGCAUAAGAACAAAAAACCCCACCAAACCCAGUGGGGGGAGCAGUUAGAAGGAACACACUAAAGCGAGCUAAAUAAGUAUUUUCCUGCAGUACGCUCACAUACACACGAUUAUUAAUAUUGUAAAUUAUGAUUGUAGCGUACUGUACUGUUUUGGAUCCCAACGUCAACAACCAUCAAUACAGAAUCUAUCGAAGGCCUCUCUUCCUCCCUCUAAUCCCACACUCAACAUGAUGGCGUUCAUCAGACGCAUCCUGAUGCUUUAACGUCAUGCCGACAGGAAGUCCACCCUGCAGGAAUAUGAAAGACGCGUCCACACGGGUGCGCUGUUGUACCAACCUCUGCACUGCCAGGAAAGCCUUCUGGUGAUGUGGAUUUUCCAGCUCAUUGAAAUUUUCCAUCUGCUUCACACACACAUUCGGGUCACACUUCCCACUGACUGAGAAAUAGGAGGUGAGCCGGAAGAGGAUGCCCAAAUAUAAGCAGAUGGUCAAACCUGCUGGCAGAGAAAUAUCCCAAAAACAUUGUUUAUGAUGGGGAACUGUUUGACCCUGUAACGGAUUGAUGGGAACAAUUGUUUUAAAACGCUUACAGAGUAACAUGUAGCAGCCACUAUUGGGUGACAAAACAAUGGCAAUGAACUGUGGGUUCCCUUUAAAGUUGUCAGUGUACAUCUUGAGUUGAACAGGAAAUGGUUAAAGAAGAUAUAAACAGACUGGACCAGUAUUAUACAAAACUGCAGUCACGGCUACUGUUAGUGACGUAAUUAUUCAUAAGGUGCCUGAAGGCAUGCUGGGUAACACAGCUGCAACACACCCGCGCUGCAAUAGUUUAGAGAUGGUUGAAAUUACUGUACAAAUGUUACUAUUGCUUAGGACAAGGGUUUCCAAACUUUUUCCACUGAGCGCCGCACACGGAAAAAUUAAAGCAUGCAGGGGCCGUUUUGCUAUUUUACAUUUUUUCAAACCAUAACAAAAUAUAUGGAUUUUGUUUGUUUUACCUUUAGGGAUCCCGGGGACCAUAAAGGGUCUAAGUCAUUAAAAUGUUAAAAACAA